UACGUAGGCAGCGAGCGUUGUUCGGAAUUACUGGGCGUAAAGAGUGUGUAGGCGGUGCUCUAAGUUCGGUGUGAAAUCUCCUGGCUCAACUGGGAGGGUGCGCCGGAAACUGGAGUGCUUGAGCAUGGGAGAGGAAAGCGGAAUUCCUGGUGUAGCGGUGAAAUGCGUAGAUAUCAGGAGGAACACCUGUGGUGUAGACGGCUUUCUGGACCAUAGCUGACGCUGAGACGCGAAAGCGUGGGGAGCAAACAGG
rnacentral:rRNA from 1 species